rnacentral:rRNA from 1 species
UACGUAGGGCGCAAGCGUUGUCCGGAAUUAUUGGGCGUAAAGAGCUCGUAGGCGGCUUGUCACGUCGGAUGUGAAAGCCCGGGGCUUAACCCCGGGUCUGCAUUCGAUACGGGCUAGCUAGAGUGUGGUAGGGGAGAUCGGAAUUCCUGGUGUAGCGGUGAAAUGCGCAGAUAUCAGGAGGAACACCGGUGGCGAAGGCGGGUCUCUGGGCAACAACUGACGCUGAGGAGCGAAAGCGUGGGGAGCGAACAGG